rnacentral:tRNA from 6 species
GCCCCCGUAGCCCAACCGGUAGAGGCAGCGGACUUAAAAUCCGUCCAGUCCGGGUUCGAAUCCCGGUGGGGGCA